rnacentral:rRNA from 1 species
CCUACGGGCGGCUGCAGUGGGGAAUUUUGGACAAUGGGCGAAAGCCUGAUCCAGCCAUGCCGCGUGAGUGAAGAAGGCCUUCGGGUUGUAAAGCUCUUUCAGGUGGAAAGAAAACGCAUAGGUUAAUACCUUGUGCGGAUGACGGUACCAUCAGAAGAAGCACCGGCUAACUACGUGCCAGCAGCCGCGGUAAUACGUAGGGUGCGAGCGUUAAUCGGAAUUACUGGGCGUAAAGCGUGCGCAGGCGGUUAUGUAAGACAGAUGUGAAAUCCCCGGGCUCAACCUGGGAACUGCGUUUGUGACUGCAUAACUAGAGUACGGCAGAGGGAGGUGGAAUUCCGCGUGUAGCAGUGAAAUGCGUAGAUAUGCGGAGGAACACCGAUGGCGAAGGCAGCCUCCUGGGCCAGUACUGACGCUCAUGCACGAAAGCGUGGGGAGCAAACAGGAUUAGAUACCCCUGUAGUC